GCCGGGCCAUGGAGCUGUGGCCGUGUCUGGCCGCGGCGCUGCUGUUGCUGCUGCUGCUGGUGCAGCUGAGCCGCGCGGCCGAGUUCUACGCCAAGGUCGCCCUGUACUGCGCGCUGUGCUUCACGGUGUCCGCCGUGGCCUCGCUCGUCUGCCUGCUGCGCCACGGCGGCCGGACGGUGGAGAACAUGAGCAUCAUCAGCUGGUUCGUGCGAAGCUUCAAGUACUUUUACGGGCUCCGCUUCGAGGUGCGGGACCCACGCAGGCUGCAGGAGGCCCGGCCCUGUGUCAUCGUCUCCAACCACCAGAGCAUCCUGGACAUGAUGGGUAGGCCGAGCCUCGGGGGCGGCUUCUGGGGUUUGAGUGGGGCCGGCUGAGCUGGGGCUGUGUGGGGCUGGGGCUGGGUCCCGGGGACGAGGACACAGGACUGCCUGUGCCUGGGCGAGCUCGGCCUCAGUACCUCCCUCAGGGCCGGACACAGAGGCUCGGAGGCCACACGACCUGUCCAGGUAGCCAGGGAGAAGGCAGGGUGCCAGGCAGGCCUGUGGGUGCUCAGCAGCUGUCUUCCAGCGCACGCUGUCUCCCCCUCUGUCUCUGUCUCUGUCUCUCUGUCUCCCAGGCCUCAUGGAGGUCCUUCCGGAGCGCUGUGUGCAGAUCGCCAAGCGGGAGCUGCUCUUCCUGGGGCCCGUGGGCCUCAUCAUGUACCUCGGGGGCGUCUUCUUCAUCAAC
rnacentral:sRNA from 1 species